UACGGGAGGCAGCAGUGGGGAAUAUUGCACAAUGGGCGAAAGCCUGAUGCAGCUAUGCCGCAUGUAUGAAGAAGGCCUUAGGGUUGUAAAGUACUUUCAUCGGGGAGGAAAAACAAAACUAAUAAUUUUAUUUCUUGACGUUACCCGAAAAAGAAGCACCGGCUAACUCCGUGCCAGCAGCCGCGGUAAUACGGAGGGUGCUAGCGUUAAUCAGAAUUACUGGGCGUAAAGAGCACGUAGGUGGUUUUUUUAAGUCAGAUGUGAAAUCCCUGGGCUUAACCUAGGAACUGCAUUUUGAAACUGAAAUACUAGAGUAUCGUAGAGGGAGGUAGAAUUCUAGGUGUAGCGGUGAAAUGCGUAGAUAUCUGGAGGAAUACCUGUGGCGAAAGCGGCCUCCUAAACGAAUACUGACACUGAGGUGCGAAAGCGUGGGGAGCAAACAGGGAUUAGAUACC
rnacentral:rRNA from 1 species